AGUGCCUUUAUAAUUUGAUAAAAUAUACUAACUUUGAAGACCAUGAAGCUCACUGUUGUUGACUCAAUAUGGGACAUGUUAUAGAGCAUGUGUUAGUUUUAUUAAGCAUGAGAGUUGUCUAGUUCGUCCAAAACGUUAAUGGACUGUAUUUUUUAAUGCUUUAACAAAGUGUGAAAGGUUUGAUCAGCAGCAGUCUUAAAGAGUUAUUUGCUUUAUGAUCAAAG
rnacentral:misc_RNA from 1 species